GACGAACGCUGGCGGCGUGCCUAAUACAUGCAAGUAGAACGCACAGUUUAUACCGUAGCUUGCUACACCAUAGACUGUGAGUUGCGAACGGGUGAGUAACGCGUAGGUAACCUGCCUGGUAGCGGGGGAUAACUAUUGGAAACGAUAGCUAAUACCGCAUAAUAUUAAUUAUUGCAUGAUAACUAAUUGAAAGGUGCAAUUGCACCACUACCAGAUGGACCUGCGUUGUAUUAGCUAGUAGGUGAGGUAACGGCUCACCUAGGCGACGAUACAUAGCCGACCUGAGAGGGUGAUCGGCCCCACUGGGACUGAGACACGGCCCAGACUCCUACGGGAGGGAGCAGUAGGGAAUCUUCGGCAAUGGACGAAAGUCUGACCGAGCAACGCCGCGUGAGUGAAGAAGGUUUUCGGAUCGUAAAGCUCUGUUGUAAGAGAAGAACGGGUGUGAGAGUGGAAAGUUCACACUGUGACGGUAUCUUACCAGAAAGGGACGGCUAACUACGUG
rnacentral:rRNA from 1 species